UGUUACAAUGGCAGGUACAGAGGGGUGCUACCGGGUGACCGGAUGCCGAUCUCGAAAACCUGUCCCAGUUCGGACUGGAGUCUGCAACCCGACUCCACGAAGUUGGAUUCGCUAGUAAUCGCGCAUCAGCCAUGGCGCGGUGAAUACGUUCCCGGGCCUUGUACACACCGCCCGUCAAGCCAUGGGAGCCGGGGGCGCCUGAAGUCCGGGACCGCGAGGACCGGCCUAAGGCGAAACUGGUGACUGGGGCUAAGUCGUAACAAGGUAGC
rnacentral:rRNA from 1 species